UACGUAGGGGGCAAGCGUUGUCCGGAUUUAUUGGGCGUAAAGAGCGUGUAGGCGGCCUGAAAGGUCAGCUGUGAAAACUCGAGGCUCAACCUCGAGACGUCGGUUGAAACCAUCUGGCUAGAGUCCGGAAGAGGAGUGUGGAAUUCCCGGUGUAGCGGUGAAAUGCGCAGAUAUCGGGAAGAACACCCGUGGCGCAGGCGGCACUCUGGGACGGUACUGACGCUGAGACGCGAAAGCGUGGGGAGCGAACAGG
rnacentral:rRNA from 1 species